GGCUGAUUGGAGCCAAUUUUUUACUCUAAAAGCCUAUCUUUUGAUACCACUGUCUAAGAACAAUCAGAUCAUCAUUUCACCAUCUUCGGCCGCCCAAGGAUAUUUCAAACUACUUUUGCUGAUAUCAGGAGAAGGACCAUGACCAGACAAGCAAAAAUAUGCGACUGCCUGGGGCUGGGGCUGGUGCACCUUGGGCUGGGGCUGGUGCUGGAUUAGCAACGCUUGGGAAUGUGCACAUUAGUUUUAGUUGAUGUUGCCACCAUGUUUUGGUGCCUGUGUAUUUGUUUCCGAUUAUAUGUACACUUGAUGGAUCGUGCAGAUGUGUAUGUGCUGUUGUGAGUUUCAUUGAGUGAUUUCUGGAUUUGAUCAUUUAAUUUUGAGAAUUAUUGAUUGUUUGCUGUUGAAAUGUGUAAAAUUGAAAUCUGUGAUUGAAAAA